rnacentral:rRNA from 1 species
ACGUAGGGACCAAGCGUUGUUCGGAUUUACUGGGCGUAAAGGGCGCGUAGGCGGCGUGGUAAGUCACUUGUGAAAUCUCCGGGCUUAACUCGGAACGGUCAGCUGAUACUGCUUUGCUAGAGUGCAGAAGGGGCAAUCGGAAUUCUUGGUGUAGCGGUGAAAUGCGUAGAUAUCAAGAGGAACACCUGAGGUGAAGACGGGUUGCUGGGCUGACACUGACGCUGAUGCGCGAAAGCCAGGGGAGCAAACGGGA